AAAAGGUUGCGCGGCCAUCGUGU
rnacentral:misc_RNA from 1 species